CGGCAGGCUUCAUACAUGCAAGUCGAGGGGCAGCAUAAAUUACUUGUAAUUUGAUGGCGACCGGCGAACGGGUGCGUAACGCGUAUGCAACUUACCUUUUACUAGAGAAUAGCCAAGAGAAAUUUUGAUUAAUGCUCUAUACACUUAUUAAUUCUCAUGAAUCUAUAAGAAAAGCUCCGGCGGUAAAAGAUGGGCAUGCGUCCUAUUAGCUUGUAGGUGAGGUAACGGCUCACCUAAGCUCCGAUAGGUAGGGGUCCUGAGAGGGAGAUCCCCCACACUGGUACUGAGACACGGACCAGACUUCUACGGAAGGCAGCAGUAAGGAAUAUUGGACAAUGGAGGCAACUCUGAUCCAGCCAUGCCGCGUGAAGGAAGACGGCCUUAUGGGUUGUAAACUUCUUUUAUACAGGAAGAAACCUUUCCACGUGUGGAAAGCUGACGGUACUGUAAGAAUAAGGAUCGGC
rnacentral:rRNA from 1 species